CCAAGGGAGAAACAGCUGGAGAAACCAGGACUGCAUCGCCACAUCCCUGAGGAGGUUCCUAUUGCAUAAAAUAGUCCAGUGAGCAAGCAGCAAUUGCAAAUCUGGUGGCCUGAGGGAGAACUCUGUGAGUGAAAGGCAAGCACUGCUCUCCUGGAAGCAAAGCUGACGUUUCAAUACUCUGUCUGAGAUGUCUUGGUGAAGUGCCUGAAGUUACAGAGGGAGAAAGAACAUCAAUCUGCAUCUGCUUUCUCCUGCAGAGAGCUGUCAUCAGUCAUGUUGUCUGGACUAGGAGAUGAGGGACAGUAUGACCCAAAGAGCAGCCCCAUAACAAGGAGAUAGAUGGACA
rnacentral:lncRNA from 1 species